UGGGGAAUAUUGCACAAUGGGCGAAAGCCUGAUGCAGCAACGCCGCGUGAGUGAUGAAGGUCUUCGGAUUGUAAAGCUCUGUCUUUUGGGACGAUAAUGACGGUACCAAAGGAGGAAGCCACGGCUAACUACGUGCCAGCAGCCGCGGUAAUACGUAGGUGGCGAGCGUUGUCCGGAUUUACUGGGCGUAAAGGGUGCGUAGGCGGAUGUUUAAGUGAGAUGUGAAAUACCCGGGCUUAACUUGGGUGCUGCAUUUCAAACUGGAUAUCUAGAGUGCAGGAGAGGAGAAUGAAUUCCUAGUGUAGCGGUGAAAUGCGUAGAGAUUAGGAAGAACACCAGUGGCGAAGGCGAUUCUCUGGACUGUAACUGACGCUGAGGCACGAAAGCGUGGGUAGCAAACAGGAUUAGAUACCCUGGUAGUCCACGCCGUAAACGAUGAGUACUAGGUGUAGGAGGUAUCGACCCCUUCUGUGCCGCAGUAAACACAUUAAGUACUCCGCCUGGGAAGUACGAUCGCAAGAUUAAAAC
rnacentral:rRNA from 1 species